rnacentral:rRNA from 1 species
CGGGUGAGUAACACGUGGAUAACCUACCUAUAAGACUGGGAUAACUUCGGGAAACCGGAGCUAAUACCGGAUAAUAUAUUGAACCGCAUGGUUCAAUAGUGAAAGACGGUUUUGCUGUCACUUAUGGAUGGAUCCGCGCCGCAUUAGCUAGUUGGUAAGGUAACGGCUUACCAAGGCAACGAUGCGUAGCCGACCUGAGAGGGUGAUCGGCCACACUGGAACUGAGACACGGUCCAG